GCCGCCAAAGAUUUAUCGGCAAGGGAUGGGCCUGCGUCUGAUUAGUUAGUUGGUGGGGUAACGGCCUACCAAGGCGACGAUCAGUAGCCGACCUGAGAGGGUGAUCGGCCACAUUGGAACUGAGACACGGUCCAAACUCCUACGGGAGGCAGCAGUGGAGAAUCUUGCACAAGGGGCGAAAGCCUGAUGCAGCAACGCCGCGUGAAGGAAGAGAGGCCCUUGGGUCGUAAACUUCUUUCUAAGGAAGAUAAUGAC
rnacentral:rRNA from 1 species